CCUACGGGUGGCAGCAGUGAGGAAUAUUGGUCAAUGGGCGCGAGCCUGAACCAGCCAAGUAGCGUGAAGGAUGACUGCCCUACGGGUUGUAAACUUCUUUUAUACAGGAAUAAAGUGAGGCACGUGUGCCUUUUUGUAUGUACUUUAUGAAUAAGGAUCGGCUAACUCCGUGCCAGCAGCCGCGGUAAUACGGAGGAUCCGAGCGUUAUCCGGAUUUAUUGGGUUUAAAGGGAGCGUAGAUGGGUUGUUAAGUCAGUUGUGAAAGUUUGCGGCUCAACUGUAAAAUUGCAAUUGAUACUGGCAGGCUAGAGUACAGUUGAGGUAGGCGGAAUGCGUGGUGUAGCGGUGAAAUGCUUAGAUAUCACGAAGAACCCCGAUUGCGAAGGCAGCUUACUAAGCUGUGACUGACAUUGAUGCACGAAAGUGUGGGUAGCAAACAGGAUUAGAUACCCUUGUAGUC
rnacentral:rRNA from 1 species